rnacentral:rRNA from 1 species
GUGGGGAAUAUUGGACAAUGGGCGAAAGCCUGAUCCAGCCAUGCCGCGUGUGUGAAGAAGGUCUUCGGAUUGUAAAGCACUUUAAGUUGGGAGGAAGGGCAUUAACCUAAUACGUUAGUGUUUUGACGUUACCGACAGAAUAAGCACCGGCUAACUUCGUGCCAGCAGCCGCGGUAAUACGAAGGGUGCAAGCGUUAAUCGGAAUUACUGGGCGUAAAGCGCGCGUAGGUGGUUCGUUAAGUUGGAUGUGAAAGCCCCGGGCUCAACCUGGGAACUGCAUCCAAAACUGGCGAGCUAGAGUACGGUAGAGGGUGGUGGAAUUUCCUGUGUAGCGGUGAAAUGCGUAGAUAUAGGAAGGAACACCAGUGGCGAAGGCGGCCACCUGGACUGAUACUGACACUGAGGUGCGGAAGCGUGGGGAGCAAACAGGAUUAGAAACCCUUGUAGUCC